AAUUGACGUGAACAUUUGAAGAUUCGGAUUCAGUCUGUAAUGAUUAACUAAUACUUUUACAGUUAGAGACAUGCACACCUACAAUUUUACUAAUUAUUUUUGUAUGAUAUGAUAUGAUACUGAUUUGUAUGUGAAGUUGGAUUUUGAUUUCGAAUUUUCUUGGUAUUAAUUGUGUUUCGCGCGAGUAGUCGCUAACAAUUAAAAAGGGAUCAGACGAUUGUGUAAGGAACAAACCUCUUGAGACAAAGUCCCAAAAAUGGGUGUUUUAUUGGCAAUGACUUUACGAUUGAAACUUAAACAGAAAUACCUCCAAAGGGCGCAAGCACACGAAUACUGAAAAGAAAUAUUUUAAGUCUAAAUUAAAAAAUUGAAAUUACAUAUUUCUGUUUGAGAGUGUUUGAUUCGGUCAUUUGCUCUAUGUCUUUUCUUCCUUUUAUAUUCAUUUGAUACUUUCUUUGUGAUCCAACCGCUUAGAAACCGUUUAAUUGUUUUAUAACUGCCCACUUUCUUCAUGGUGGCCAACUUAUUGUGGAACUGUCGUUUCUAACUGCUGCCAUUACUCUUUGUCGUUCAACCGUCCUCAACUGAACAUCCUUGAAUCGUGGAACGUGAUAAGAUUACCCAAUAACUGCUUCGAUAAUUGUACUUUUGGAUAACCAUAACAUCUCAUGUUUGCUAAGAUCUUGGACGAUUCGAAAGUUUGGGCGAGAACAGGGUCAUAACUCUGGACGACUGCAAGGCAUUUCAUUCGCUCAGAUCCUGGGCGUCUUGUAAGUUUGGGCGAUGUUGUUACCGCGUUCGUGGACUUCCACUACAUUCCUUAAUAAUCAUGUUUGGGCAUUUAUCCUGAAUUGCCCAGUUGACCUUCAUUCUUUGGGCUAUUUGAAUCGGGUUGCACUUUUAGCAUGUCAACAAUUACCCCUCAAUAUGGCAGAAUUAAUACCAGUUAUUAAUUUUUACCAUAUUCACUUUUUGUUUCCCAACAACAUUUGAAAUUUUCAAGAAUUUUAAUCAUUAUUUUCUUCCAUAGCCUGAAAAGGUGCGACGUUACAAACCCUUAUAACCCCCAAAUACACGCCAUUUCAUCGCACGACUAAAUCACGCCUCAUUGCUUUGCGCUUCUCUCUCACAAUAUUACUGUUCAUCUUCUUGCUUCUUUUCUACGUUUCUCGAGCAAACUUCAACAAAGCUUUUAUUUCGUUCCUAAUGGCUGCUUCACAAUCCCAAUCUAGUGACUCUUUCAGUUUCGAAGACUUCCAGAAACUUCUCACUCGGCCAUAUAUAACUCCUAACUUCCUUACACGAGCCAAUGCCGAACUCAACGAGUUCUAUCUAGGUCCCUCAUUCAAUAACGCCGAGGCCGUCGAACAAGUGGUGGUGGGAUAGCUGUUCCCUUGUACUCAAGGCCCUCCGUUUCUAAACUCUUUGCCGCUAAAGCCGCUUCGCGAAAGAGGUAUUCGCACUUGGCCUAAAUCAGAUAUUGUUUUCCGUAGAUGGCAUGCUCGCCUUGUGAACCAUGGUCCUACCAAGGCAAUUUUUGAUAAUGCUAGGAUUUCUGAUUUGCUAGAAAUCUCUCUGCGACCCCUAUUUUUGAUUCAGCACUUUUCCCUAUUGCAUUAAGUUUUUGGUCCUCUGAGUAUGAUACUUUUGUUUUCCCUCUUGGUCCCAUGUCCAUUACUUUAAGGGAUGUUGGGGCCUUAGUAAAUUUGCCACCUUUGGGCGAUACCAUUUUUCCUGGUAUUUUGAUUUCUGGUAUCGCCCCAAAAUUUGACAAAAAACUCACCGAGUCCUAUUCAAGCCUGCAAGGCUGUUAUAAUCACUCGAGCGCUGAGCCUUCUCAUGCUGAGCGUGUGGCCUUUCUUCAGAUUUGGCUUUGUAAAUAUAUUCUGUGUGUGCCAUGCCUGAAGCCUUUUAUGAGCUAUUUACCCAUAGCGCACGAAUUGGCGUGUGGUAGGCCUCUGAAUUUGUGCUCUUUCUUUUUGGCCGCCCUCUAUAGAGACAUGACUUCUCUCCAAUUCCAAUUGAAGAAUAGUGCAUCUCCCACUGGCAGUGGGUCUCUUUGAUUCACUCAAAUGUGGUUGAAAGCCUAUUUUCCAUCACUUGGUGCUCUAUCCCUUUCCCUUCAUUCUGCUAGUUGCUAUGGGCUAGCUAUUGACCCACUGAGCCCUGUACAUAUGUCCAAAAGGGAUAUUUUUCAUUCUUUUAUACUUUGAAUUCAAUUCCUUCUUUCGUUCCUUUUCCUCCCUUUUUAACUCCUGAUUAUGUGCAUCCCCAUCUACCCUGGACAAUGCGAGCACCUCUAUGCUCGUUUGGGUUUAGUUUUUGACCGGAAGGGAGUUGUUCCAUGAUAUUUUGACUGGAACUAAUGCCAAAGUUGGGGUUGAAAUAUAUGCUCCCCAAUUUUUUGCUCGUCAACUUGGUUUCGGCCAAACUUGGCCUGUUCCCCCUUAUUAUUCAAGAAAUUUGAUAGAUCGCUUUUACACCAUAAAUAAGGCAGAGGCAGAAGCUAUAAAUGCUCUCAAUAUUCUUUUGACGAGUAACUUUUCAUUAGCUUCUUUCAAUCCUAGUUAUGCUACGCAUCCCCUUUUUGAACAACUCUGGCCAUCAGUGCAGUGCAGAUUGUUUGCAAUUGAUGCCAAUCGCGCCUUCCAUUCACUGGAUCAGCCGGACAUUUCUUCCACUUCCCCUGUUUUGGUCACCCCUGUGUCCAUUAUGAGUCAUUCCUCUUCUGCUCGUGCUAAACAUCUGUUCGUCCAUCUACUUCCCUUCCUGCCUAGCCUACUGCAUCUAAAAUUAUCCCAAGCCGCAAACGGCCAGCCUCAGCAUCUCCCAUUUUGGAUGAUGAUGAUGAUGACGACACUCCUCUCAUUGUCAGGAGAAAGGUAAUUAAAUUAGUUUACUCACAAGCAUACCUUUCUAUACUUGAAACUUUUCUAUGUGCUGAUGGUUUAUUCGGAUUUCUCAGAAAAGCUCAGCCUCUCCUUCGAAGGCUUUGGUGUUGGCAGCUCCUGCUCCAUCACCUUCUGCUGAGGCUGCUUCAUCCAAACCAACUGAUGAAGAGACUACGCAUAAAGAGAAACCUUCAGUCCCGAAAUCUUCAUCACAACCAAUGGAUGAGCCACCUUCUUUCCAGGGCGUCAGCCCCCCAAACGUUGAACCAGAAGGUAAUACAUUUUUUGAUAUUUUACCUUUACUUGAGCUAUUGGUUUUUGAUUUGUUACUUUCUAAGUUUUGUAGAUGCUCCCAUGGGUUUGCCCAUUGUGGCAAAGUCUUCUCGCUCAGACAAGGGGAAGUCUUCACAAGUGGUGGAGCCACAGGUGGUAGAUUUGGCUGGGGAUAUGCCACCUCUCAAGAUUGCUGAUGAGGUAAUCUCUGCUUCACUUUUAUGUCCACUUUGUUCAUUGUAGUGAAAACCUUCAAUGUUGGCAACUUUCUUUGCAGGAUGCUGAUAAGAUUGUGCGUUCCAUCCAGGACUUGUUCACUUCCUGGGGACAAGUCAAGACGUCUCGCCCUGCUUCAACCAGUCGUCCUUCUGCUUCUUCAAAGGAAGAUAUUAAGUUCCUCAAGCAGUCGAUAUUUAAGUAUGUGUUCUUCAUGGAUAUGAACAUCGGUCAGGCUAGUGCUACCAAACAUAAGGAUAAGCUUGAGCAUUUGAGUGCGAAGUUGGAGCAAGCACUAACACUUCCGUCGCUCAAUCUUUCUGCUGAUUUUAAAGCGACGUUGAAAGUUGUCCAUUCCGAAGUUCUCUCCUUGUUGACCAAAAAUGUUGAACUGAAGGCCAAAAGUACUCAAUAUCUUCGCGCUGUAUUUGAAAGAGAAUCUUUGCUUCUGGAGAUCAACAAAGUUGAGGACGAAUUGAAAGAAAUCUCUUCUGAAGUCAUAAUUGAAGACUCUUUGAUGACCAGUUUGGCUGCACAGAUGGAGGAGUUUCAAGCAAAGAUGGACGACUACAAUACGAGAAUGGCUGCCAAAAAAUGCAAUGCCUCCCAAGGAAUUGAACGAACCAAGUCUUUGGUCGAGCAGUACAAGAAGCUGGAGGUUGAUGAUGAUUUUGUGGCUGAGUUGAAUGUCACUUCUUCUCAGCAGAGCGAGAAUUGGAGGAGACUUAGGGAAAGGAUUCGUUCAGUCUGGGGUGAUUUGUAAUUAAGACAUCUAAUGCCUUAACUUUUCUUUUUGUAAUUUCAUAUUAAUUUUUCCUUUGUAACCUCGCACUGAAUUCUGAACAUACCAACAACCAUUAUCAUUAAUGAACGAUUAACUUGUCUUCUUGUGUAUUUAUUGACGUUGCCUUUAAUCGUCAACCCCUCAAACAUUUAACUGUUUUAUGCUAAGAUUCACG
rnacentral:lncRNA from 1 species